rnacentral:rRNA from 1 species
UAGGGAAUCUUCCGCAAUGGGCGAAAGCCUGACGGAGCAACGCCGCGUGAGUGAUGAAGGUCUUCGGAUCGUAAAACUCUGUUAUUAGGGAAGAACAAAUGUGUAAGUAACUAUGCACGUCUUGACGGUACCUAAUCAGAAAGCCACGGCUAACUACGUGCCAGCAGCCGCGGUAAUACGUAGGUGGCAAGCGUUAUCCGGAAUUAUUGGGCGUAAAGCGCGCGUAGGCGGUUUUUUAAGUCUGAUGUGAAAGCCCACGGCUCAACCGUGGAGGGUCAUUGGAAACUGGAAAACUUGAGUGCAGAAGAGGAAAGUGGAAUUCCAUGUGUAGCGGUGAAGUGCGCAGAGAUAUGGAGGAACACCAGUGGCGAAGGCGACUUUCUGAUCUGUAACUGACGCUGAUGUGCGAAAGCGUGGGGAUCAAACAGG